CAAAUCCUUGCACUAGGUGGGGCCAGCCUCCUGUUGUGUAGACUCAUCAACUAUACCAGUCCUCUGUUCCUGGUCUCUGGAGCUUCAAUUUGGGAAAGUGACCCAUUAGCUUCUGAGGACCAGGGUGAGAGAGGGCAAACUUGAAUGCCCUUCACAAUGGAGAGAUGUGUGCAGACCGGACAGACAUCAGUUCCUUUAUCAGUGCACAGGUAGCUGCAAUAUGCUUCCUGGAAUCCUCUCUCAAAUAAACUGCUUGCCUCCAAAUCCUUGUCUCAGGCCUGCAUGUGGAGAGAUAAAACCCAGACAAAGAGGCAGACAUGAGCAGAUGAGCUCCCCCGAACAGGAGACAAGUGGGCUGAGAGGUGAAGGAAGAGGAUGAGCAGCUCCAGCAGCCUAAGGGCUAUCCUCUGAAGCAGAGUCACAGAGCCGAGUGUAGCAAGAAAAGGCUCGGUGAUGCCUGGGGAGGCGACGCCGGCAGUCAGAAGAAUCCAAAGGAGCCUUGACAGCGUCACUGCAGACAAACCUGUCUCCACUGACUGCCCUACUCAGACUCUGCCUGUCUGUGGUGGCCCACUCUCCUCGGGGUGGAUCGGCCUAAGAGUUUCAUUAAAAUCAAGGGGACGGGGAUUGUGGGUAGUGUUGGGACCCAGUAAAGCCCUGGGCUUAAUGGAUCAGAACCAAAACCCCAGCUCCACAUGGGCAGCCCUCAGUUUUCAUGGGUCAGCCCUUUCUGAGAAACCCAGCCAGGGAGGAGCACAGGACCAGCAGCAGGGGAUGCUUCUAAACCCAUAUCUCACUGGAUAAGCUCAUCACCUUCCAAGCCUCUGAAGAACAUUUACGUUCCUAUAAGUUUCUGAAGCCACGUUCAAAUCGUAGCUCUACCACCAAUGAGCUGCACGUUGGAGGGGAAGUGAAUUCACCCCAGACCUGAGUUCCACAUCCCUAGACUGGGUGAGAGGGCCUCUGCCCAGGCUCUCCAUGAGGAUGACCUGCACCGUGUGCCUUUAAUGCACUUAGAACAGCAGGUGCCUCAGUAAACGCUCACUGCCAUUCUGCGAUCAUUAUUGCAUUCACUUCCUGGGGCUGCUGCAACAAAGUACCACACCCUGGGGGCGAAAACAACAGACCCUGACCGUGCCGAUGCUGGAAGUCUGAGAUCAAGGUGUGGGCAGGGCUGGUUCCUUCCGAGGACUGUGAGGAAGACUGUUCCACGCCUCUCUGCAGCUCCGGGUGGUUUGCAGGCAACCUUUCCAUUGCUGGCUUUGCAGACACAUCACCCAGUCUCUGCCCUCAUGUUCACAUGGCUCUCUCCCUGUGUGUGUGUGUCUGCGUCCCAGCCUCCCCUGUUUAUAAGGACAUAGUGGCAUUACAUGACUACUAUUACUCUGAUAGGGCCUCAUCUUAACUAACUACAUCUGCAAAUAACCCAUUGCCACAUAAGGUAGCAUUCUGAAGUACUAGGGGCUAGGACAUCAACAUAGGAAUUUGGGGAGCACAUAAUUCAACCCAUGAUAAUGAUUAUCGUGAUUAUUAUUAAGAAUAUAUAACCACUGUAGGAUGAAAGCAAAUACUGUAAAAUCCUACUCAUAGGUUUGCAGGGAUUAAAUGGCAUCACUGGAAAAUUGUCUGACACAAAGAAGGGGUUCAACAAAUGUUGUUUUACUUCCUCACUGUCAGCCUAAAUAUAGAAAGUAUUUGCUCAUUGGCCCGACAGACAAGUUUUGACUUCUAGUUUUAUACCAGCUUUAUGUAUACAUGCUUAUAUGUCGUAUGUGACAUUUUGUACAUAUAAACAUUAGUUCUGCCUUCUAAUGCUAUUUUGAAAUCACCUUUCCCUUGUUAAAGUGUUCUUUUGAAAUUAUAUAAAAUAGCUGAAUAGUAUUUUAAAGCCAAAAUGCUACAAUUUACUUGCCAUGUUUUAUAAUUUGCUUACAUUCAGAUGGUGUACCAUCUUGUGUUCUGUUAUGAAAUAGCACAACCAUGCAUAAAUGACCCUGCCAUCCUACCCCUAGAACUUUAUUUACCAUGAAAUGCCUCCACGUACUUUCAUUUGCAUGUCUUGAGAACUGAACCGUAGACCCCUCUUCCCUGUCAGUGUUGACCAUCGAUAUUUCCUCCCACAUGUGGCUUCUGUUUCUGUCUCUGGGCAGAUUUAUUCUAACCUGCCCUCAAAUCUGUAAGAAGAUUGUUCAUUCCCUAGGGCUAGUCCAAGUCUCCUGGCCUGGUGCUUACUUCAAAUUCACCUAAAUCUGGCAUAAAAGCUUUCAGGACAAGGUGGAUCAAACUGCGCCCUUGUGUGAGUACUCCCUGGACAGAAUGUCUGGUUAUCUUCGGUGUAAGUUAUUUCCCAUGACUCACAAAUAGAAAUCAGGAGAGGAGGGAGGUAGGAGGUGCAAGCCUCUGCAGCUGUCUGGAGAGUCAGCAAAAGGGAGACAGAAUCUUUAGUUACUUCACAUGUGUGACAAUACGCCUAUGUUUUGUUUUAUGUUGUUUAUUUCUUAUGUAACAUUGUUGAGUUAUCAAAUGAAGUGGUGUAUAAAAAUGUCAAAUAAACAGGUUCUCUCCCUUU
rnacentral:lncRNA from 1 species